rnacentral:rRNA from 1 species
CGUGUAGGCGGCCUAAUAAGUUAGAAGUGAAACCUAUCGGCUCAACUGAUAGCCUGCUUCUAAAACUGCUAAGCUUGAGUGCAGAAGAGGGGAGUGGAAUUCCCAGUGUAGCGGUGAAAUGCGUAGAUAUUGGGAGGAACACCAGUGGCGAAAGCGGCUCCCUGGUCUGUAACUGACGCUGAGGCGCGAAAGCGUGGGUAGCAAACA